UGAGUGCACUGCUUUUACUCAGGCUGGUCUUGCAAGUCCCUGGAAACCUGUCUUUUUGCUUUUACACCAAAUUAAGUCAUGUUGUUUGUCUUGACAGUUGUAUAUAUGGCUGCUUAAAGUGCUGGGGAAUGGAGUACUGGGUCAUAGUACCUCAUGGACACCUUUGGGUGCAGACAAAUUUCAAGAACUUGGCGAUUGUUUAAUGUUCAGAAUUCAAGUCUGUUUGCCAUGUGAAGUGAAGGCCCUGAGGAACUCAAUAAUUUUGUCUUCAUUUGCAACCUGCUAGAAUGUUUGCGCUUGUAUGGAAUACUGAAGAUAAUUGUUCAAGAAUAAUGGCAAAGCUGAAGAAGGUAAACUGGUAGUCAGUCUUUGAAUCUGAAAAAAUGUUUUUUGAUUUACUUUUCAGUUUCAAGAAGUAGGCAUGGAUGUUAUCAUAGGUGUUUUGUGAAUUUUAGCAAUAUGAUCUUAAUUGAUAGUUUCUUUUUUACAAGAACAAUGCCCUCUGAGGACCAAAAUUCCACUCUAUCAUGAGUGGAUAAGGGAGAUUAUAAGAACUGAAGUAGCUGCAAGUCCUAUUAACUCUAGCUUUCACAAAGCACAAGUAAUGCACUCUCAAACAAAUCAUUAUUUAUAAUGAAUUCUGAAAAUAAGAUAUAAUGCCUGAAACCAAAUUCAGAUUAAUAUCAGUAUGAUGGCACAGCAGUAGUCUUUUGGAGUGAAAAAAGAAAAAGAUUACAAAAGAAUAUUUUUACGUGAUUAGGACAUGGUUCUGGAUACAACAUGAGCACCCACGGAGCUAUGCCAUUACUCACAUUAGGGAGUAGGAGAGCCAGGAUUAAGGGCAUAUUCAAAAUGCUGAGCCUGAGCCAUCUCUAGUGUUGUCUUCCAGGGUCUGUGCUCUUAAUGGUGAAAAUCAAGACCAUCAUUUGGGUCAUUUGAAAGGAUCUUAAAAUUAGGAAAAACUUAAAUUAGGUUUAUGAUUUGUAUUGCUUCCCAGAGGAGUCUAUUUUUAUAUUCUUAGUCAGAUGUGCACAAAGUUGUGAUGAGAUAUGUUGUACCUGUUAUUGAAAAGAAAUAUGACCACUUUGCUAGUAGUUUACUGUUAGGUAUCAUUCAGGGACAUUUGUUGCAUGUAGUUUGAUACUAAAAAAUUGUUUUAAGAAAAGAAAUCAAACGGUAUUAAAGCUAUGCUCUAUGUCCCAA
rnacentral:lncRNA from 1 species